UGGGGAAUUCUGGGAGUUAAAGUCCACGCAUCUUAGAGGUGUCCAAGCUGGGAAAGAGUGUUCCACUAUCAUGGCCGAUGUUUGAGAAGGCCUAUAUUUCCACGUCUAUGGUAUCAGAAUGAUAGCGGGUCCCCAGAAGGACAUGACCAUCUCCAGGCUGAAUCCUGAGUUAAGUAAGAUGUCUUCCAAUAUAAGCUGAAAUCUGCUUUUCUGGAACAUCAUUGCUUUGGCUAAGUUGCUUGACGCUUCAGUUCUAACCAAAAGCAGCAGAAUCAAAAGCAUAUGUAGCUUUUAUUAGGAGAUUUGAAAAAAAAAAAUAGAUUUGACUACUCUACUAUCCUACCAGAUAACCCAACCGGUGCUUUUUAUUAAACAACAAGUGCUCUCUUCUUCUUUUGAUAAUAUAUGUAAAUAUUUAUUAAACGUAUUAAUGUGCAUUUUUAUAAUAUUCCCCCCUUUCCUAUCCUGCUGACUGUUGUGUACCAUUUCACAUUCUACAUCUUUGGAAGGUUUUUGAGACAAUCAAUGUGUACCAUAUUGACUGUACAUAAGAGAUAUGAAAUUUAAACAAAACAAAGACAGAGUUGUAAAGCCUGGGCAGAAAGAUACAUUUUAUUUUCAAAAUGCUGUUCUUAAUGAAGAAAAUAAAAAUGUUAAAAAAAAUAAAGAAUUACUAUUUACUUACAA